rnacentral:rRNA from 1 species
CCUACGGGAGGCAGCAGUGAGGAAUAUUGGUCAAUGGACGAGAGUCUGAACCAGCCAAGUAGCGUGAAGGAUGACUGCCCUAUGGGUUGUAAACUUCUUUUAUAUGGGAAUAAAACGUUCCACGUGUGGGAUUUUGUAUGUACCAUAUGAAUAAGGAUCGGCUAACUCCGUGCCAGCAGCCGCGGUAAUACGGAGGAUCCGAGCGUUAUCCGGAUUUAUUGGGUUUAAAGGGAGCGUAGGUGGAUUGUUAAGUCAGUUGUGAAAGUUUGCGGCUCAACCGUAAAAUUGCAGUUGAAACUGGCAGUCUUGAGUACAGUAGUGGUGGGCGGAAUUCGUGGUGUAGCGGUGAAAUGCUUAGAUAUCACGAAGAACUCCGAUUGCGAAGGCAGUUCACUGGACUGCAACUGACACUGAGGCUCGAAAGUGUGGGUAUCAAACAGGAUUAGAUACCCCUGUAGUC